rnacentral:rRNA from 2 species
GCAGCAGUAGGGAAUCUUCCGCAAUGGACGAAAGUCUGACGGAGCAACUCCGCGUGAGUGAUGAAGGCUUUCGGGUCGUAAAACUCUGUUGUUAGGGAAGAACAAGUGCUAGUUGAAUAAGCUGGCACCUUGACGGUACCUAACCAGAAAGCCACGGCUAACUACGUGCCAGCAGCCGCGGUAAUACGUAGGUGGCAAGCGUUAUCCGGAAUUAUUGGGCGUAAAGCGCGCGCAGGUGGUUUCUUAAGUCUGAUGUGAAAGCCCACGGCUCAACCGUGGAGGGUCAUUGGAAACUGGGAGACUUGAGUGCAGAAGAGGAAAGUGGAAUUCCAUGUGUAGCGGUGAAAUGCGUAGAGAUAUGGAGGAACACCAGUGGCGAAGGCGACUUUCUGGUCUGUAACUGACACUGAGGCGCGAAAGCGUGGGGAGCAAACAGGAUUAGAUACCCUGGUAGUCCACGCCGUAAACGAUGAGUGCUAAGUGUUAGAGGGUUUCCGCCCUUUAGUGCUGAAGUUAACGCAUUAAGCACUCCGCCUGGGGAGUACGGCCGCAAGGUUGAAACUCAAAGGU